rnacentral:rRNA from 1 species
GUGGCGAACGGGUGAGUAAUGUAUCGGAACGUACCAUUCAGUGGGGGAUAACGUAGCGAAAGUUACGCUAAUACCGCAUAUUCUGUGAGCAGGAAAGCAGGGGAUCGCAAGACCUUGCGCUGAUUGAGCGGCCGAUAUCAGAUUAGCUAGUUGGUGAGGUAAAGGCCCACCAAGGCGACGAUCUGUAGCGGGUCUGAGAGGAUGAUCCGCCACACUGGAACUGAGACACGGUCCAGACUCCUACGGGAGGCAGCAGUGGGGAAUUUUGGACAAUGGGGGCAACCCUGAUCCAGCCAUGCCGCGUGAGUGAAGAAGGCCUUCGGGUUGUAAAGCUCUUUCGGCCGGGAAAAAAUCGCAUAGGUUAAUACCCUGUGUGGAUGAUGGUACCGGAAUAAGAAGCACCGGCUAACUACGUGCCAGCAGCCGCGGUAAUACGUAGGGUGCGAGCGUUAAUCGGAAUUACUGGGCGUAAAGCGUGCGCAGGCGGUUUGAUAAGACAGGCGUGAAAUCCCCGGGCUCAACCUGGGAACUGCGUUUGUGACUGUCUCACUAGAGUACGGCAGAGGGGGGUGGAAUUCCACGUGUAGCAGUGAAAUGCGUCGAGAUGUGGAGGAACACCAAUGGCGAAGGCAGCCCCCUGGGUCGAUACUGACGCUCAUGCACGAAAGCGUGGGUAGCAAACAGGAUUAGAUACCCUGGUAGUCCACGCCCUAAACGAUGUCAACUAGGUGUUGGGAGGGUAAAACCUUUUAGUACCGUAGCUAACGCGAGAAGUUGACCGCCUGGAGUACGGCCGCAAGGUUAAAACUCAAAGGAAUUGACGGGGACCCGCACAAGCGGUGGAUGAUGUGGAUUAAUUCGAUGCAACGCGAAAAACCUUACCUACCCUUGACAUGUUCAGGAGUCCGAAGAGAUUUGGAUGUGCUCGAAAGAGAACUGGAACACAGGUGCUGCAUGGCUGUCGUCAGCUCGUGUCGUGAGAUGUUGGGUUAAGUCCCGCAACGAGCGCAACCCUUGUCGUUAAUUGCCAUCAUUAAGUUGGGCACUUUAACGAGACUGCCGGUGACAAACCGGAGGAAGGUGGGGAUGACGUCAAGUCCUCAUGGCCCUUAUGGGUAGGGCUUCACACGUCAUACAAUGGUCGGUACAAAGGGUUGCCAACCCGCGAGGGGGAGCUAAUCCCAUAAAGCCGAUCGUAGUCCGGAUCGCAGGCUGCAACUCGCCUGCGUGAAGUCGGAAUCGCUAGUAAUCGUGGAUCAGCAUGUCACGGUGAAUACGUUCCCGGGUCUUGUACACACCGCCCGUCACACCAUGGGAGCGGGUUCCGCCAGAAGUAGGUAGCCUAACCGCAAGGAGGGCGCUUACCACGGCGGGGUUCGUGACUGGGGUGAAGUCGUAACAAGGUA